CCUACGGGGGGCAGCAGUCGAGAAUCAUUCACAAUGGGGGAAACCCUGAUGGUGCGACGCCGCGUGGGGGAAUGAAGGUCUUCGGAUUGUAAACCCCUGUCAUGUGGGAGCAAAUUAAAAGAUAGUACCACAAGAGGAAGAGACGGCUAACUCUGUGCCAACAGCCGCGGUAAUACAGAGGUCUCAAGCGUUGUUCGGAAUCACUGGGCGUAAAGCGUGCGUAGGCUGUUUCGUAAGUCGUGUGUGAAAGGCGCGGGCUCAACCCGCGGACGGCACAUGAUACUGCGAGACUAGAGUAAGGGAGGGGGAACCGGAAUUCUCGGUGUAGCAGUGAAAUGCGUAGAUAUCGAGAGGAACACUCGUGGCGAAGGCGGGUUCCUGGACAUUAACUGACGCUGAGGCACGAAGGCCAGGGGAGCGAAAGGGAUUAGAUACCCUUGUAGUC
rnacentral:rRNA from 1 species